CGAACGCUGGCGGCAUGCCUAACACAUGCAAGUCGAACGGUAACAGGGGAGCUUGCUCCCGCUGACGAGUGGCGAACGGGUGCGUAACGCGUGGAUACCUGUCUUUAGGUGGGGGACAACAGCUGGAAACGGCUGCUAAUACCGCAUAUUCCCUACGGGGGAAAGAUUUAUCGCCUUUAGAGGGGUCCGCGUCGGAUUAGAUAGUUGGUGGGGUAAUGGCCUACCAAGUCAACGAUCCGUAGCUGGUCUGAGAGGAUGAUCAGCCACACUGGGACUGAGACACGGCCCAGACUCCUACGGGAGGCAGCAGUGGGGAAUAUUGCGCAAUGGGGGCAACCCUGACGCAGCAAUGCCGCGUGUGUGAAGAAGGCCUUCGGGUUGUAAAGCACUUUCAGUAGGGAAGAUAGUGACGGUACCUACAGAAGAAGCUCCGGCUAACUCC
rnacentral:rRNA from 1 species